rnacentral:tRNA from 1 species
GGGCGUGACCACAACUCAGUGGCCGAACAUCUGCUUUGCAUGCAGAAGGUCCCAGGUUCAAACCCUGGCAUCUCCA